AUUGAACGCUGGCGGCAGGCUUAACACAUGCAAGUCGAACGAGUGGCGGACGGGCGAGUAAUGCUUGGGAAUCUAGCUAAUGGAGGGGGAUAACUACGGGAAACCGUAGCUAAUACCGCGUACCAUAGGAUGAGCCCAAGGGGGAUUAGGUAGUUGGUGAGGUAAAGGCUCACCAAGCCGACGAUGCCUAGCUGGUCUGAGAGGAUGACCAGCCACACUGGGACUGAGACACGGCCCAGACUCCUACGGGAGGCAGCAGUGGGGAAUAUUGCGCAAUGGGGGCAACCCUGACGCAGCCAUGCCGCGUGAUUGAAGAAGGCCUUCGGGUUGUAAAGUACUUUCGGCAGGGAGGCGUUAUCCGCAGAAGAAGCACCGGCUAACUCCGUGCCAGCAGCCGCGGUAAUAC
rnacentral:rRNA from 1 species